rnacentral:rRNA from 1 species
UACAGAGGUCUCAAGCGUUGUUCGGAUUCAUUGGGCGUAAAGGGUGUGUAGGUGGCGCGCUAAGUCGGGUGUGAAAUUUCGGAGCUUAACUCCGAAACUGCAUUCGAUACUGGCGUGCUUGAGGACUGGAGAGGAGACUGGAAUUCAUGGUGUAGCAGUGAAAUGCGUAGAGAUCAUGAGGAAGACCAGUGGCGAAGGCGGGUCUCUGGGAUGAUACUGACGCUGAUGCUCGAAAGCUAGGGGAGCAAACGGG